UACAGAGGGUGCGAGCGUUGUCCGGAAUCACUGGGCGUAAAGGGCGCGUAGGUGGCGACCCAAGUCCGUGGUGAAAGCUCGUCGCUUAACGACGAGUCGGCCACGGAGACUGGGUGGCUCGAGCACUGUAGGGGCAGAUGGAAUUCCGGGUGUAGCGGUGGAAUGCGUAGAGAUCCGGAAGAACACCAGUGGCGAAGGCGGUCUGCUGGGCAGUUGCUGACACUGAAGCGCGACAGCGUGGGGAGCAAACAGG
rnacentral:rRNA from 1 species